AUUGAACGCUGGCGGCAGGCCUAACACAUGCAAGUCGAGCGAGCGGCGGACGGGUGAGUAAUGUAUGGGGACUGCCCGAUAGAGGGGGAUAACUACUGGAAACGGUGGCUAAUACCGCAUACUGGCGGAUAACCCAUAUGGGAUUAGCUAGUAGGUAAGGUAAUGGCUUAACUAGGCGACGAUCACUAGCUGGUCUGAGAGGAUGAUCAGCCAGACUGGGACUGAUACACGGCCCCGACUCCUACGGAGGCAGCAGUGGGGAAUAUUGCACAAUGGGCGCAAGCCUGAUACAGCCAUGCCGCGUGUAUGAAGAAGGCCCUAGGGUUGUAAAGUACUUUCAGUCGGGAGGCGUUACCGACAGAAGAAGCACCGGCUAACUCCGUGCCAGCAGCCGCGGUAAUUC
rnacentral:rRNA from 1 species